rnacentral:rRNA from 1 species
AUUGAACGCUGGCGGCAGGCCUAACACAUGCAAGUCGAACGAGUGGCGGACGGGUGAGUAAUGUCUGUGAACCUGCCCGAUGGAGGGGGAUCACUACUGGAAACGGUAGCUAAUACCGCAUACCAUCGGAUGUGCCCAGAUGGGAUUAGCUAGUAGGUGGGGUAACGGCUCACCUAGGCAACGAUCCCUAGCUGGUCUGAGAGGAUGACCAUCAACAAUGGAACUGAGACCAGGUCCAGACGCCUACGGGAGGCAGCAGUGGGGAAUAUGGCACAAUGGGCGCAAGCCUGAUGCAGCCAUGCCGCGUGUAUGAAGAAGGCCUUCGGGUUGUAAAGUACGUUCAGCGAGGAGGCGUUACUCGCAGAAGAAGCACCGGCUAACUCCGGGCCAGCAGCCGCGGUAAUAC